CGCAGGAGGUGAAGGUGAGGACGUUGGCUUCGUCACCUUGAAGGUCUGCUCAGUUCAAGAAAGAAUUCAAAUCCCAACACAGGUGCCCAUGGAAAGAAGUGGUUCUGGUGACUCCCUGGUGUAAUGGCACCAGAACUGAUGCCAUAGGAACCAGGGUCUUCCUGGGACCUCGCUGCUGUUGGAGCCACCUGACUUGGGCUCUGUUGCACUGGCAAACACAGGUAGACUGUACCCAGGAUAUUUGUGCCAUAGAACGUCUUGGCAGCGUCCAGAUGGGGAUGGCCCAGCCUCUGCAGAUGUUGUCUCUAGAAGGACCAACAGCCGCAGUCACGCAGGAACUCAACGAUGCUGAAAUACGAGGGCAGGAGUGGUGCCCAAGGCGUGGAGGAGAGCGAGCCUCUGAGAACUCUGUUCUGGAAAGUCUCAGGCUGGCCAGAAGAAAAAUCACGAAUUAGAUCGUGAAAGCGAGAAAGGGCGCUGGGUAAAAUGAUUGUCCUGUUUGUGAGAACGACAGCAUCCCAGGAAUGAGGGGCGCUGUGAUUGAAGCAGCCUUCCCGCAGAGGACGAAGCCUGCGUCCCUCCGACGAGCGGCCUCCCGUGCGGUGCUGGAGCAUCG
rnacentral:lncRNA from 12 species